rnacentral:lncRNA from 1 species
CAAUUAACGCAAGUAAUCCUAAUUCUAGCACAAGCAAUGGUUACCCCUUCAUGGUAACCCCAAAACCUAACGAUCACUCUACACGAUGAUCUUGCUAUUGCUGAAUUUAAAUGGAUUAAGCCAAUUUAUCAGAGCGGACCUAUCUGAUCCGUAGAGUGGAGAAAAACGAGCUUGCUGUUGAAUUUCAGUCGGCGUCACACCAGGGGCAAAAUCGUCCACCUUUUUCUGUGUAACCUGAAACACAAAACAAAGUAUAUCACCGCGUUCAGGAGAUCGAAACAAGUAAGUUACCUGAAGACAGCUUCGCCGGACAGCCGCUCACGUGCCGCCAAUGCGCCGUCGCCGCCGCCCACUCGCCGCCUCACCAGGGGUGCCUCGACCUGCUGGUAAUGGGUAUGGCCUCCGUUUGUCCAACCAAGCUUUGGUUUGUGAGUAAUUGAAGAAUUUUAGAUUCGGGUUCUAUGUUGAAGAUGCGAAAAUCAGCCGAUUUUGAGCCUUUUUUGCUACCCAAGCUCUGAUACCAGAUGUUAGGAUCUUCCUCAAGCUGCUCAAAGUGAUUUUCGGGCUCAGUUAACCAUUAAACAUCGAAUUCAACACCAAAAACGGGAGGAGGGCCGACCCCCGGGUUGCUUGUAUUCCUAUGGUUGCUAUUUGUCACGGACCGAGUUUUGUUACACCCGAACAACUAGAACCGUGCGGCCUUAACGCUUGAAAAUUCCCGCACCUCACGAGAAAAUGUUAAGUCAGCCUUUUCACGCUCACAAAUAAUUUAACCAAGGAGGCUAAAUUAUACCCACGUUGAGAAGAGAAUUUUGAAGUAAGGGAUAUAUGAAAAACAAGUAAGGUCGAGAAACUUUCUUUGUAUAAAUGAAAGGGAAAACUUUACAAUCUCUCUAAGGAAUAAAU